rnacentral:misc_RNA from 1 species
AACGCACAUUGCGCCCUCUGGUAUUCCGGGGGGCAUGCCUGUCCGAGCGUCAUUGCAACCCUCAAGCACGGCUUGUGUGUUGGGCCUUCGUCCCCAGUGGACGUGCCCGAAACGCAGUGGCGGUUCCGUGUUCCGGUGCCCGAGCGUAUGGGGCUUUGUCACCCGCUCUUGAGGCCCGGCCGGCGCUUGCCGACCCUUUAUUCUUCCAAGGUUGACCUCGGAUCAGGUAGGGAUACCCGCUGAACUUAA